rnacentral:rRNA from 1 species
UACGUAGGGUGCAAGCGUUGUCCGGAAUUAUUGGGCGUAAAGAGCUUGUAGGCGGUUUGUCGCGUCUGCUGUGAAAUUUCGGGGCUCAACCCCGAACUUGCAGUGGGUACGGGCAGACUAGAGGUAGGUAGGGGAGAAUGGAAUUCCCGGUGUAGCGGUGAAAUGCGCAGAUAUCGGGAGGAACACCGGUGGCGAAGGCGGUUCUCUGGGAAUUACCUGACGCUGAGGAGCGAAAGCAUGGGGAGCGAACAGG